GAUGUCAAUAGACGCCGUCCCUAAACUGGACGACCGCGCUGUAACCGCAAUUCGACUAUAGCGCGGUAGUGAAGUAGUUAAACAAACUUAACUGAGAUGUCACACAGAUGUCUCAAAAGGUUGAAUUGCCGGUCACAUUGGGUGGGGCACAAAAUGCCUUUCACUGUGCUGCGCUGAUAAAAAGUACUACAUGCAGACCUUUUUCUCAGCGCAGCGUAUUGAACUGGGCACAUAGGAGACGAGGCAUUUUGACUUGUCCAUGCGGUAGGACUGCGCUGGAAUAGCCGCCCAACUCAGUCCCACCUUAUCUGGUGUGAAUAUACCCUUAUAAAUGUCCUCUAAACGCAUGUAAACAAUGAGCCAGUGUGAAUGAGGCCUAAUUCCUCUCAGAGGAGACCUCUCCUGUGUGUAAAUAACUUAAACGCAGGUGCGUUCUUGUGAAUGUAAACAUUCAUAAAAUGAUUUGUUUUUACACAACAUUCUCCCCGCCUGGUGUACAGAGCCGACGUCUUCAGCACACAGAAUAUUUGGCAAUGUGCGGCUGAGAGGAGGGCGUAGAGGAGGAGGAGGAGGAGGACAGGAAGGGCUGGGAGGAGAUCAUCAUAUUUUACUCCACUGUACUGAAGAGAAGUUCAUACAACCUAUAAGUGACAGAGACCUGACUGGAUCUCCGAGCGACCGUCACCAUGCAACAGCCCAGCGUGCCCGUCCAGGAAAAUACUGUCCUCACCACCGGGGCCGGAGUUCCCAUUGGUGACAAACUUAAUGUCCUUACGGCCGGCCCUCGGGGGCCACUGUUGAUGCAGGAUGUGGUGUUCAUUGAUGAGAUGGCGCAUUUUGGCCGGGAGAGGAUCCCUGAGCGAGUGGUACACGCUAAAGGAGCAGGUGAGAUAUUGUACCACGGACCCUAAGAUCAGCCUCUCUAUCCCAGUUGUCUGGAUUGGAGAGUGUAACGGUCACCACCGUUUACGACAUUCCAUUCCACCAACCCACGACAGCUUAUCUGACACUCCACAAUCUAGCAGACACGAUCCAUCCCAUUCCCCAAAUAACCGAGACACAAGCUCUAGUUACUGGUUUCAAAAUGUAUGAAUGACUUUAAUGGUUCCUUAGCUUUCUUAUAUACAGUACAGCAUGUUAAAGU